GAUGAAGAACGUAGCGAAAUGCGAUAAGUAAUGUGAAUUGCAGAAUUCAGUGAAUCAUCGAACUUUGAACGCACAUUGCGCCCAUUAGUAUUCUAGUGGGCAUGCCUGUUCGAGCGUCAUUUCAACCCUUAAGCCUAGCUUAGUGUUGGGAGACUGCCUAAUACGCAGCUCCUCAAAACCAGUGGCGGAGUCUGUUCGUGCUCUGAGCGUAGUAAUUUUUUAUCUCGCUUCUGCAAGCCGGCCAGACGACAGCCAUAAACCGCACCCUCUCGGGGGGCACUUUUUUAAUGGUUGACCUCGGAUCAGGUAGGAAUACCCGCUGAACUUAAGCAUAUCAAUAAGCGGAGGA
rnacentral:misc_RNA from 1 species